UCGCUGUGUGUUACAAGUGUCACACGGGUACUGCCGGGUCGUUUAAGCCGGGGAAGUGGGGAUGACGUCAAGUCAGCAUGGCCUUUACGUCCUGGGCUACACACACGCUACAAUGGCCAACACAAUAGGUUGCUAAGCCGCGAGGUGGAGCCAAUCCUCAAAGUUGGUCUCAGUUCAGAUUGCAGGCUGCAACCCGCCUGCAUGAAGAUGGAGUUGCUAGUAACCGCAGGUCAGCUAUACUGCGGUGAAUACGUUCCCGGGGCUU
rnacentral:rRNA from 1 species